rnacentral:misc_RNA from 1 species
CACUCUACUCAAGCAAGAGUGCUCGACAGCGGCCGCGGUGUGUGGGGGAUCGCUCAUACGCAGCCGCACUCACCGGUGCACGCGCAAGCCGCCCGGUGCUCCUGCACACUCCGAUCCUUUCUCUGCGCGCUUCUCCUAUCGCGGGCCCAGAAUUGUUCUCGCCCACCCCCAUCCCCUUUACGCGCUGAUGGCAGCAAGCUUUACCUCCUCGACCGGCAGCAGCGCCGUGGGGCCGGCGGCCGCGUCGCGGCUCUUCACGCCGAUUCGCAUUGGCCGGCACAUACAGCUGCCGAACCGCUUCUACAUGCAGCCCAUCUACCUCAACAUGGAGAGUGAGCUCAAGUGCUACGGCGACGAGCACAUGGCCGCGAUGGCCGCCUUCUUUGGCGAGCGGGCGCACUACGGCGCGAAGCUGAUCGUGGUCGGCGGCCUCGGCACGUCGAGGCUCGGCCGGUGGAAGAAAGAUGCACUGAUGCUUGGCACCUUCGACGCCGCCAAGGCGCUUUCGCGCGUCACACAGGCGGUGCACAGCGAGGGCGGUUACGUACUCGCCCAAGCCUUCCACGCGGGCCGCGCCGCCCGAAAGCGUCAUUUUGUGUCCGCCACGUCGACGCCGUCGCCGGUGCAGCCGAUCCGCAACACGCACCCGUACAGGGUACCUGGCUGUAUGGUGGACUACGUGGUGUCCGAGUACGAGCGGUUUGCACGGCUAGCCGAGGAGGCCGGGUUCGACGGGGUCGAGAUCCCUGUCAGCGAGGGCAGCCUCCUGCAUAACUUCCUGUCCUCCGCCGUGAACACGCGGCAGGACGCCUUUGGCGGGUCGCUGGAGCGCCGGCUCGAGAUCACAGUGCGCGUGCUCGAAACCAUCAAGAACUCCCUAGCGAACCCCGACCACUUUCUCGUGGCGUUGCGGUUAUGUCUGCACGACCUGAAGGUCGGCGGCACGCCGAUGACCGAGACGCUACGGGUAGCCGAAGUGCUCGCCAAGAGCGGCCGCAUCGACCUCUUGAACACGAGCGUCGGCAUGCACGACUCGCCCGUUCAGACGCUGUCAGCCUACGUGCCGCAUGGCACGUUUGCGCGGUCCUGCCAGCUGCUGAAGGAGCGGCUGACGGAGGUCUGUGCAGCGGAUGUGCCGGUCGUUGCGUCGCACCGGCUGCACACCAUCGAGCUCUCCGAGAAGCUGCUCGAAAAGGGUGUGUGCGACAUGGUCGGCGUCGCGCGGCCGCUGCUCGCGGACCCGCAGUACAUCACCAACGCAGCGGCGGGCCGCAGCGAGGAUAGCAUCCCGUGCAUCGGCUGCAACCACUGCGUCAACCGGCUGUACAAGCACCAGCGCAUCACGUGUGCGUUGAACCCCAUCUCGGGCUACGAGCUCCAGCGAGGAUGGAGGCCGGCCACGUACCGCAAGUCUGUCGCCGUUGUCGGGGCAGGCGCGGCGGGCGUGACGUGCGCGCUGACGCUGUGGCGCCGCGGCCACGACGUCACACUCUUUGAGAAGGAAAGCGUCAUUGGUGGCCAGCUGAACCUCGCGAAGCGCGUGCCUGGCAAGGAAAACUACCAGGCCAUGCUGGAGUACUGGACGCGGCAGCUGCGGCAGUCCUCCAUCAACGUCCGCCUCAACACUGAGUUCACCCGCGAGGAGGUAGCUCGCAACCACCAGUUCUUUCACGCUGUCGUCAUGGCGCACGGCUCCGUGCCGCGCCGCAUCUCGUCCCACGUCAUCGCCGGCGCGUCCGAGUGCCCGCUCAUCGUGCCCUUCUCGCGCAUCCUCGACGGCAGCGUCACGGCAGGUCGCCGCGUCGUCAUCGUCGGCAACGGCGCCAUCUCGCACGACGUUGCCUCCUUCCUGCUGCACGACCCCCGCGUCUCGCGCGAGGUCUCGCUGUACCUGGACGAGUGGGGCGUCAACCUCGAGGACGGCAGCCUGCUGGGCAGCCCGGAGCCACGGAUGCCGCGCAACAACCGCGUGGUCACCAUCUUCAACAAGGCGGACAAGGACGCGGACCUUUCCCGAGGCUGGGGCUGGGCGCAGAAACUUUGGAUCAAGCAGCACGCGAGCACCGUGGUGUCGCACGGCAUGCUCGAGAACUUCGACGCCGACGGCGUGCACAUCUCCACGUUGCCACCGGACAGCCGCAAGUUCUUCGUGCCGUGCGACACCAUCGUCUGGUGCAUUGGCAUGCUGCCGAACAUCACCUACGGCACAUGGAUCUACGAGUGGAUGAAGGACGGCGCGAAGGUGCGAGGUGAGAUGAUGGGCGACUUUAGCAUCUACACAGCCGGCUCUUGCCGUGACAGCUACACCGGCGACGGACACGGCGAAGAAGAUCUACUCCAGUGCGUCCACGAAGGGUACGAGAUCGGCUACAAGAUAUGAGGCUGACAUCUCGAUGGUCGCGCGGCGGCGGUGGCCUGUGCCUGGUGAAGGAUCCACACAGCUUUCCAGCGCUUCGCGUUGCUCGCUGGUUGCUAGCCUACCCUGCAGCGCUUGCCUGCUUGCGUGUGGGGACGGGUUGUGGGGCCUCCGGAACGGAUGACACGCGGCAAAGAGAGGGCAGAUGGCAUGUGACCGCACUGCUGCGGACGCCAUCUGGUGUCCAAUCCAUGCACACGCGGGCAAGGCAAACCGACGGAAAGCGCUGCUUGGCAGCGGGGCGAGUCGCAGGAGCGGCAGUGAGCGGCGCAAUGAGCUAUGCUGGUGUGUGUGUGUGUGUGAAAAGGCGGAGAGGGCGGGCCGAUGUGUCUGAGAUCGAGUGGCUUGGGCGUCGCCUGGUGCUCGAUCCUCAAUCUCGCGGCCCCCUUCGCCUCCGCUUCCGCACGUGCAUGCACGUGCGAUGACGAGGGCUCAGAGCAUUGGGAGAAAGCGAUGUACAACCGCAGGUGAGGUGUCGCGAUGAGGCAACGUUGGCCAUGUGGCAACGUGCGGGUGAGUCUCGAUC